GUAGGUGGCAAGCGUUGUCCGGAAUUAUUGGGCGUAAAGCGCGCGCAGGCGGUUCUUUAAGUCUGAUGUGAAAGCCCACGGCUCAACCGUGGAGGGUCAUUGGAAACUGGAGAACUUGAGUACAGAAGAGGAAAGCGGAAUUCCACGUGUAGCGGUGAAAUGCGUAGAGAUGUGGAGGAACACCAGUGGCGAAGGCGGCUUUCUGGUCUGUAACUGACGCUGAGGCGCGAAAGCGUGGGGAGCAAACAGGAUUAGAUACCCUGGUAGUCCACGCCGUAAACGAUGAGUGCUAAGUGUUAGGGGGUUUCCGCCCCCUUAGUGCUGCAGCUAACGCAUUAAGCACUCCGGCCUGGGAGUACGAACCGCAAGGUUGA
rnacentral:rRNA from 1 species